rnacentral:rRNA from 1 species
CCUACGGGCGGCUGCAGUGAGGAAUAUUGGUCAAUGGUCGGGAGACUGAACCAGCCAAGCCGCGUGAGGGAGGAAGGUACAGAGUAUCGUAAACCUCUUUUGUCAGGGCACAAAGGCGGGGACGUGUCCCCGGAUGAGUGUACCUGAAGAAAAAGCAUCGGCUAACUCCGUGCCAGCAGCCGCGGUAAUACGCAGGAUGCGAGCGUUAUCCGGAUUUAUUGGGUUUAAAGGGUGCGCAGGCGGUCUGUUAAGUCAGCGGUAAAAUUGCGGGGCUAAACCCCGUCGAGCCGUUGAAACUGGCAUACUGGAGUGCCGGAGAGGUAAGUGGAAUUCCUAGUGUAGCGGUGAAAUGCGUAGAUAUUAGGAGGAACACCAGUGGCGAAGGCGGAUUACUGGACGGUAACUGACGCUGAGGCGCGAAAGCGUGGGGAGCAAACAGGAUUAGAUACCCCAGUAGUC